UACGGAGGGCGCAAGCGUUGUUCGGAAUUACUGGGCGUAAAGCGCGUGUAGGUGGCCUGAAAAGUCGGGUGUGAAAUCCCGGAGCUCGACUCCGGAACUGCAUCCGAUACUGCCAGGCUCGAGUCUCGGAGGGGAUGGCGGAAUUUCCGGUGUAGAGGUGAAAUUCGUAGAUAUCGGAAGGAACACCAGUGGCGAAGGCGGCCGUCUGGACGAUGACUGACACUGAGACGCGAAAGCGUGGGGAGCAAACAGG
rnacentral:rRNA from 1 species